UACGGAGGGUGCAAGCGUUAUCCGGAGUUACUGGGCGUAAAGGGCGUGCAGGCGGUCGACUAAGUCUGGCGUGAAAGCUCGCGGCUAAACCGCGAGAGGUCGUUGGAUACUGGUUGACUAGAGGACGGUAGAGGCGUGUGGAAUUCCGGGUGUAGUGGUGAAAUGCGUAGAUAUCUGGAGGAACACCGGUGGCGAAGGCGGCGUUCUGGACUGCAACUGACACUGAUGAACGAAAGCCAGGGGAGCAAACGGG
rnacentral:rRNA from 1 species